rnacentral:rRNA from 1 species
UAUGGCUUAACCAUAGAACUGCUUGGGAAACUGAUAAUCUAGAGUGAGGGAGAGGCAGAUGGAAUUGGUGGUGUAGGGGUAAAAUCCGUAGAGAUCACCAGGAAUACCCAUUGCGAAGGCGAUCUGCUGGAACUCAACUGACGCUAAUGCGUGAAAGCGUGGGGAGCAAACAGGAUUAGAUACCCUGGUAGUCCACGCCCUAAACGAUGUAUACUAGUUGUUGCUAAGCUAGUCUUGGCAGUAAUGCACCUAACGGAUUAAGUAUACCGCCUGGGGAGUACGGUCGCAAGAUUAAAACUCAAAGGAAUAGACGGGGACCCGCACAAGCGGUGGAGCAUGUGGUUUAAUUCGAAGAUACGCGAAGAACCUUACCCGGACUUGAUAUCUAACAAAUCAUCUAGAGAUAGAAGAGUGUCUGCUUGCAGAAAUGUUAAGACAGGUGCUGCACGGCUGUCGUCAGCUCGUGUCGUGAGAUGUUGGGUUAAGUCCCGCAACGAGCGCAACCCACGUCAUUAGUUGCUAA